rnacentral:rRNA from 1 species
UACGUAGGGUGCGAGCGUUAAUCGGAAUUACUGGGCGUAAAGCGUGCGCAGGCGGCGCGUUAAGACAGGUGUGAAAGCCCCGAGCUUAACUUGGGAAUUGCGCUUGUGACUGGCGAGCUGGAGUGUGGCAGAGGGAGGUGGAAUUCCACGUGUAGCAGUGAAAUGCGUAGAGAUGUGGAGGAGCACCGGUGGCGAAGGCGGCAUCCUGGACCGGUAUUGACGCUGAGGCGCGAAAGCUAGGGGAGCAAACGGG